rnacentral:ncRNA from 1 species
GGUCGCUAUUCUGGCGUUGUUACUUUGAAAAAAUUAGAGUGCUCAAAGCAAGAUUAUGCUUUGAAUACAUUAGCAUGGAAUAACAAAAUAGGAGUCUGGUCCUAUUUUGUUGGCCUUCGGGACUGGAGUAAUGAUUAAUAGGGACUGUCGAGGGCAUUUGUAUUUCAUUGUCAGAGGUGAAAUUAUUGGAUUUAUGAAAGACGAACCACUGCAAAAUCAUUUACCAAGGAUGUUUUCAUUAAUCAAGAAUGAAAUUUGGGGGCUCGAAGAUGAUCAAAUACCAUCCUAGUCUCAACCAUAAACGAUGCCGACCAAGGAUCGACGGAUGUUGCUCUAAGGACUCCGCCAACACCUUCUGAGAAAUCAGAGUGUUUGGGUUCCGGGGGGAGUAUGGUUGCAAGGCUAAAACUUAAAUUAAUUGACGAAAGGGAACCACCAGGAGUGGAUCCUGUGGCUUAAUUUGAAUCAACACGGGAAAACUUACCAGGUCCAGAAAUAGUAAGGAUUGACAGAUUGAGAGCUCUUUCUUGAUUCUAUGGGUGGUGGUGCAUGGCCGUUCUUAGUUGGUGGAGUGAUUUGUCUGGUUAAUUCCAAUAACGAACGAGACCUCAGCCUGAUAACUAGCUAUGCAGAGGUUCCCCUUCGCGGCUAGCUUCUUAGAGGGACUAUGGCCAUUUAGGCCAUGGAAGUUUGAGGCAAUAAUAGGUCUGUGAUUCCCUUAGAUGUUAUGGGCUGCACGCGCGCUACACUGAUGCAGUCAACAAGUUUUUCUCCCUGGUUUGAGAGGAUCAAGAAAUCUUCUCAAAUUGCAUCAUGAUGGGGCAGACCAUUACAAUUAUUGGUCUUCAACAAGGAAUUCCUAGUAAGCACGGGUCAUCAGCUCGUGUUGACUACGUCCCUGCCCUUUGUACACACCACCCGUCACUCCUACCGAUUGAAUGAUCUGGUGAAGUGUUCGGAUCGUGUCAACGAGGGUGGUUCAUCACCGACAAUGUCGUGAGAAGUUCACUGAACCUUAUCAUUUAGAGGAAGAAGAAGUCAUAACAAGGUUACCGUAGGUGAACCUAUGGUAGGAUCAUUG